UGAGGAAUAUUGGGCAAUGCCCGCAAGGGUGACCCAGCAACGCCGCGUGGAGGAUGAAUGUCGUAAGAUUGUAAACUCCUGUUAGAGGGGAAGAAUAGUACCGGUUGGACCGGUAUAUGACUGUACCCUCAGAGAAAGCCCCGGCUAACUACGUGCCAGCAGCCGCGGUAAUACGUAGGGGGCAAGCGUUGUCCGGAUUUACUGGGCGUAAAGCGCACGUAGGCGGAUUGUUAAGUCGGGGGUGAAAUCCCGGAGCUCAACUCCGGAACUGCCUUUGAUACUGGCAAUCUUGAGGCUGGAAGAGGUUGGUAGAACUCCCAGUGUAGAGGUGAAAUUCGUAGAUAUUGGGAAGAAUACCAGUGGCGAAGGCGGCCAACUGGUCCAGAUCUGACGCUGAGGUGCGAAAGCGUGGGGAGCAAACA
rnacentral:rRNA from 1 species